GCUUAGGUGGUGUAGUGGUUAACACGUCAGCACCAAACAGAGAGGAAAGAGUAAGGCCUCGCCCGUUCCGGUAAGGAUUACGAACCUUAACUCUAUAGUCCUGGUUUCGGCAGCUGGAGAACCUGGGUUCGAAUCCCAGCUUGAGCA
rnacentral:tRNA from 1 species